rnacentral:misc_RNA from 1 species
UGAAAUGCGAUAAUUAAUGUGAAUUGCAUUAUCUCGUGAAUCAUCGAGUCUUUGAACGCAUCUUGCACUUUUCAGGUCUCCUGGAAAGUAUACUUGUUUGAGUAUCAUAAACAUCUCUCAAAGUUUUUACUUUGGAAGUGAGACGUCAGGGAGCUUUGUCUCUUUGUGUCUUUUAAUUGAUAUGCGGCGCGUUUUCACAACAUGCACACAUUUGCGUGUGUGUGUGGUGUGAAUGCCCAACUACUACCAAAUGUGAGAUAAAUAUCGCACAAAGAACAGGAGUUGGGUCAAGCACUGCUACGCUCAGCGUCGUCAUCAUCAUCAUCAUCAGGGAGCUACUCUCUGAUGUGUGUGUGUGUGUGGCAUGCACCUUGAGUCAUUGAUCUCAAAUCAAGUAAGA